rnacentral:rRNA from 1 species
UUGAACGCUGGCGGCAGGCCUAACACAUGCAAGUCGAACGGUAACAGGAAGCAGCUUGCUGCUUCGCUGACGAGUGGCGGACGGGUGAGUAAUGUCUGGGAAACUGCCUGAUGGAGGGGGAUAACUACUGGAAACGGUAGCUAAUACCGCAUAACGUCGCAAGACCAAAGAGGGGGACCUUCGGGCCUCUUGCCAUCGGAUGUGCCCAGAUGGGAUUAGCUAGUAGGUGGGGUAACGGCUCACCUAGGCGACGAUCCCUAGCUGGUCUGAGAGGAUGACCAGCCACACUGGAACUGAGACACGGUCCAGACUCCUACGGGAGGCAGCAGUGGGGAAUAUUGCACAAUGGGCGCAAGCCUGAUGCAGCCAUGCCGCGUGUAUGAAGAAGGCCUUCGGGUUGUAAAGUACUUUCAGCGGGGAGGAAGGGAGUAAAGUUAAUACCUUUGCUCAUUGACGUUACCCGCAGAAGAAGCACCGGCUAACUCCGUGCCAGCAGCCGCGGUAAUACGGAGGGUGCAAGCGUUAAUCGGAAUUACUGGGCGUAAAGCGCACGCAGGCGGUUUGUUAAGUCAGAUGUGAAAUCCCCGGGCUCAACCUGGGAACUGCAUCUGAUACUGGCAAGCUUGAGUCUCGUAGAGGGGGGUAGAAUUCCAGGUGUAGCGGUGAAAUGCGUAGAGAUCUGGAGGAAUACCGGUGGCGAAGGCGGCCCCCUGGACGAAGACUGACGCUCAGGUGCGAAAGCGUGGGGAGCAAACAGGAUUAGAUACCCUGGUAGUCCACGCCGUAAACGAUGUCGACUUGGAGGUUGUGCCCUUGAGGCGUGGCUUCCGGAGCUAACGCGUUAAGUCGACCGCCUGGGGAGUACGGCCGCAAGGUUAAAACUCAAAUGAAUUGACGGGGGCCCGCACAAGCGGUGGAGCAUGUGGUUUAAUUCGAUGCAACGCGAAGAACCUUACCUGGUCUUGACAUCCACAGAACUUUCCAGAGAUGGAUUGGUGCCUUCGGGAACUGUGAGACAGGUGCUGCAUGGCUGUCGUCAGCUCGUGUUGUGAAAUGUUGGGUUAAGUCCCGCAACGAGCGCAACCCUUAUCCUUUGUUGCCAGCGGUCCGGCCGGGAACUCAAAGGAGACUGCCAGUGAUAAACUGGAGGAAGGUGGGGAUGACGUCAAAUCAUCAUGCCCUUUAUGUCCUGGGCUACACACGUACUACAAUGGAUGUUACAAAGGGAAGCGAAGUAGUGAUAUGGAGCGAAACCCAAAAAGCAUCCCCAGUUCGGAUUGUAGGCUGAAAUUCGCCUACAUGAAGCCGGAAUUGCUAGUAAUGGCAGGUCAGCAUACUGCCGUGAAUACGUUCCCGGGCCUUGUACACACCGCCCGUCACACCAUGGGAGUGGGUUGCAAAAGAAGUAGGUAGCUUAACCUUCGGGAGGGCGCUUACCACUUUGUGAUUCAUGACUGGGGUG